rnacentral:SRP_RNA from 1 species
AAUCAGGUCCCACGCAACAGGAGAUCCCGAACCCCGUCAGGACCGGAAGGUAGCAGCGGUAAGGGUCCACUCCUGUGUGCGCUGGUCAACCUGAUUCUG